rnacentral:rRNA from 1 species
GAACCUUACCUGGCCUUGACAUGCACAUAGUAGAAGGGUGAAAGCCUGACGAGGUAGCAAUACCAGUGUGCACAGGUGCUGCAUGGCUGUCGUCAGCUCGUGUCGUGAGAUGUUGGGUUAAGUCCCGCAACGAGCGCAACCCUUGUCCUGUGUUGCCAGUCCGCAAGGAGGGACUCGCAGGAGACCGCCAGCGAUAAGCUGGAGGAAGGUGGGGAUGACGUCAAGUCCUCAUGGCCUUUAUGUCCAGGGCUACACACGUGCUACAAUGGCCGGUACAAAGCGCAGCUAAGUCGCGAGACGGAGCCAAUCGCAAAAAACCGGUCUCAGUUCGGAUUGCAGGCUGCAACUCGCCUGCAUGAAGCUGGAAUCGCUAGUAAUGGCGUAUCAGAACGAUGCCGUGAAUACGUUCCCGGGCCUUGUCACACCGA